rnacentral:rRNA from 1 species
AGCGAACGCUGGCGGCAGGCCUAACACAUGCAAGUCGAACGAACCUUUCGGGGUUAGUGGCGGACGGGUGAGUAACACGUGGGAACGUGCCUUUAGGUUCGGAAUAACUCAGGGAAACUUGUGCUAAUACCGAAUGUGCCCUUCGGGGGAAAGAUUAAUCGCCUUUAGUGCGGCCCGCGUCUGAUUAGCUAGUUGGUUGAGGUAAUGGCUCACCAAGGCGACGAUCAGUAGCUGGUCUGAGAGGAUGAUCAGCCACAUUGGGACUGAGACACGGCCCAAACUCCUACGGGAGGCAGCAGUGGGGAAUCUUGCGCAAUGGGCGAAAGCCUGACGCAGCCAUGCCGCGUGAAUGAUGAAGGUAUUAGGAUUGUAAAAUUCUUUCACCGGGGACGAUAAUGACGGUACCCGGAGAAGAAGCCCCGGCUAACUUCGUG